UACGGGGGGGGCAAGCGUUGUUCGGAAUUACUGGACGUAAAGGGCUCGUAGGCGGCCAACUAAGUCAGACGUGAAAUCCCUCGGCUUAACCGGGGAACUGCGUCUGAUACUGGAUGGCUUGAGGUUGGGAGAGGGAUGCGGAAUUCCAGGUGUAGCGGUGAAAUGCGUAGAUAUCUGGAGGAACACCGGUGGCGAAGGCGGCAUCCUGGACCAAUUCUGACGCUGAGGAGCGAAAGCCAGGGGAGCAAACGGG
rnacentral:rRNA from 1 species